AUUGAACGCUGGCGGCAGGCCUAACACAUGCAAGUCGAGCGGAUGAAGGGAGCUUGCUCCUGGAUUCAGCGGCGGACGGGUGAGUAAUGCCUAGGAAUCUGCCUGGUAGUGGGGGAUAACGUCCGGAAACGGGCGCUAAUACCGCAUACGUCCUGAGGGAGAAAGUGGGGGAUCUUCGGACCUCACGCUAUCAGAUGAGCCUAGGUCGGAUUAGCUAGUUGGUGGGGUAAAGGCCUACCAAGGCGACGAUCCGUAACUGGUCUGAGAGGAUGCUCAGUCACACUGGAACUGGGACAAGGUCCAGACUCCAACGGGAGGCAGCAGUGGGGAAUAUUGGACAAUGGGCGAAAGCCUGAUCCAGCCAUGCCGCGUGUGUGAAGAAGGUCUUCGGAUUGUAAAGCACUUUAAGUUGGGAGGAAGGGCAGUAAGUUAAUACCUUGCUGUUUUGACGUUACCAACAGAAUAAGCACCGGCUAACUUCGUG
rnacentral:rRNA from 1 species